rnacentral:rRNA from 1 species
UACGGGGGGGGCAAGCGUUGUUCGGAAUUACUGGGCGUAAAGCGCGCGUAGGCGGCUCUUCAAGUCGAGUGUGAAAGCUCCAGGCUUAACCUGGGAAUUGCGCUCGAUACUGUUGAGCUAGAGUGUGGAAGGGGCUACUGGAAUUCCGUGUGUAGCGGUGAAAUGCGUAGAUAUACGGAGGAACACCUGCGGUGUAGACGGCUUACUGGACCAUAACUGACGCUGAGGCACGAAAGCGUGGGUAGCAAACAGG